AGAGUUUGAUCAUGGCUCAGGACGAACGCUGGCGGCGUGCCUAAUACAUGCAAGUCGAGCGAGCGGAACUAACAGAUUUACUUCGGUAAUGACGUUAGGAAAGCGAGCGGCGGAUGGGUGAGUAACACGUGGGGAACCUGCCCCAUAGUCUGGGAUACCACUUGGGAACAGGUGCUAAUACCGG
rnacentral:rRNA from 1 species